rnacentral:snoRNA from 1 species
GUGCAGAUGAUGUGAACAAUUGGUUUUGUACCACUGAGUAAACUGAUGUUUCCAAAGGAACCACUGAUGCAC